rnacentral:rRNA from 1 species
AACGAACGCUGGCGGCAUGCCUAACACAUGCAAGUCGAACGAGACCUUCGGGUCUAGUGGCGCACGGGUGCGUAACGCGUGGGAAUCUGCCCUUGGGUUCGGAAUAACAGUUGGAAACGACUGCUAAUACCGGAUGAUGACGUAAGUCCAAAGAUUUAUCGCCCAAGGAUGAGCCCGCGUAGGAUUAGCUAGUUGGUGAGGUAAAGGCUCACCAAGGCGACGAUCCUUAGCUGGUCUGAGAGGAUGAUCAGCCACACUGGGACUGAGACACGGCCCAGACUCCUACGGGAGGCAGCAGUGGGGAAUAUUGGACAAUGGACGAAAGCCUGAUCCAGCAAUGCCGCGUGAGUGAUGAAGGCCUUAGGGUUGUAAAGCUCUUUUACCCGGGAUGAUAAUGACAGUACCGGGAGAAUAAGCUCCGGCUAACUCCGUG